rnacentral:rRNA from 1 species
CACGUAGGGGGCGAGCGUUGUCCGGAUUUAUUGGGCGUAAAGAGCUCGUAGGCGGCUCAGUAAGUCAGGUGUGAAAACUCCAGGCUCAACCUGGAGACGCCACCUGAUACUGCUGUGGCUAGAGUCCGGUAGGGGAGCAUGGAAUUCCUGGUGUAGCGGUGAAAUGCGCAGAUAUCAGGAGGAACACCAGUGGCGAAGGCGGUGCUCUGGGCCGGAACUGACGCUGAGGAGCGAAAGCUAGGGGAGCAAACGGG